GCGGAGGGAUCAUUACCGAGUUCAUGCCCUGACGGGUAGACCUCCCACCCUAUGUUAUAUUACCUUUGUUGCUUUGGCGGGCCGCCCGGCUUCGGCCAGGCUACCGGCUCCAGCUGGUAAGCGCUCGCCAGAGGACCCCCAACUCUGAAUAUCAGUGUCGUCCGAGUACUAUAAAAUAGUUAAAACUUUCAACAACGGAUCUCUUGGUUCUGGCAUCGAUGAAGAACGCAGCGAAAUGCGAUAAGUAAUGUGAAUUGCAGAAUUCAGUGAAUCAUCGAAUCUUUGAACGCACAUUGCGCCCCUUGGUAUUCCGAGGGGCAUGCCUGUUCGAGCGUCAUUACAACCCUCAAGCACUGCUUGGUAUUGGGCUCCGCUGGCUCCAGCGGGCCUUAAAAUCAGUGGCGGCGCCGUUUGGGCUCUGAGCGUAGUAAAUAUCCUCGCUAUAGAGACCAGGCGGUUCUUGUCAUCAACCCCCAACUUUCUAAGUUUGACCUCGGAUCAGGUAGGGAUACCCGCUGAACUUAAGCAUAUCAAAA
rnacentral:rRNA from 1 species